rnacentral:rRNA from 1 species
GGCCAGACUCCUACGGGAGGCAGCAGUGAGGAAUAUUGGUCAAUGGGCGCGAGCCUGAACCAGCCAAGUAGCGUGAAGGAUGACUGCCCUACGGGUUGUAAACUUCUUUUAUAAAGGAAUAAAGUGAGGCACGUGUGCCUUUUUGUAUGUACUUUAUGAAUAAGGAUCGGCUAACUCCGUGCCAGCAGCCGCGGUAAUACGGAGGAUCCGAGCGUUAUCCGGAUUUAUUGAGUUUAAAGGGUGCGUAGGUGGUUAAUUAAGUCAGCGGUGAAAGUUUGUGGCUCAACCAUAAAAUUGCCGUUGAAACUGGUUGACUUGAGUAUAUUUGAGGUAGGCGGAAUGCGUGGUGUAGCGGUGAAAUGCUUAGAUAUCACGAAGAACUCCGAUUGCGAAGGCAGCUCACUGGACUGCAACUGACACUGAGGCUCGAAAGUGUGGGUAUCAAACAGGAUUAGAUACCCUGGUA